rnacentral:rRNA from 2 species
UGGGGGAUAUUGCACAAUGGGCGAAAGCCUGAUGCAGCGACGCCGCGUGGGGGAUGAAGGCUUUCGGGUUGUAAACCUCUUUCGCUAUCGAACAAGGCCCGCUUAGGGUGGGUUGAGGGUAGGUGGAGAAGAAGCGCCGGCUAACUACGUGCCAGCAGCCGCGGUAAUACGUAGGGCGCGAGCGUUGUCCGGAAUUAUUGGGCGUAAAGGGCUUGUAGGCGGCUUGUUGCGCCUGCUGUGAAAACGCGGGGCUUAACUUCGCGCGUGCAGUGGGUACGGGCAGGCUUGAGUGUGGUAGGGGUGACUGGAAUUCCGGGUGUAGCGGUGGAAUGCGCAGAUAUCUGGAGGAACACCGAUGGCGAAGGCAGGUCACUGGGCCAUUACUGACGCUGAGGAGCGAAAGCAUGGGUAGCGAACAGG